rnacentral:rRNA from 1 species
UGACUAAACGACCGCGCGACUGUUUNACGGUCUUAAGCAUUGAGGCGGUUGGUUUUAAGAUCUAACACUGGCCGCUCGUUUUACACGCCUAUACUGCGUCGAGCGAGUGGAUACGCUGCUCUAUGAGUCGGCGGACGGGUGAUCACGUGGGUCCUGCCUGAACUGGAUCUCCGGGAAACCGGGGCUAAUACCGGAUAAUAUUUUGAACUGCAUGGUUCGAAAUUGAAAGAGCGGCUUCGGCUGUCGCUUAUGGAUGGACCCGCGUACACAUUAGACUAAUUGNUAGAAGUAACGGCUCACCAAUGGCAACNAUAGCGUANCCAGACCUAGAGAGGGUGAUCGGCCACACUGGGACUGAGACACGGCCCAGACUCCUACGGGAGGCAGCAGAAGGGAAUCUUCCGCAAUGGACGAAAGUCUGACGGAGCAACAGACCGCGAUGAGUGAUGAAGGCUAUACGAGGUCGUAAAACUCUGUGUUAGGGAAGAACAAGUGGUAGUUAGAAUAAGCUGGCACCUUGACGGUACUAACCAGAAAGCCACGGUAACUACGUGCCAGCAGACGCGGUAAUACGUAGGUGGCAAGACGUUAUCCGGAAUUAUUGGGCGUAAACGGCGGCCGCCACCAAGUNGNUACCAAACAGAUCUUAGAUGGUUGAAAAGCCCCACGGGAUCACAAACACCCGNAGAGAAGAGGUCCCAUUGGGAAACAACNUGGGGGCAGAACUUGACAAUUUGACGAACGAAGACAACAGGAGGGCAACUCCCCAUGAGGAGNAANACGGGUAAACNAGAGCGUAAGAACAAAAGGAGAGGGACCCCCAGAGGAAAGGGNAACUACUCGAGUCUGGAACUGAACCCUAGAGGGGCNAAAACACGUGAGGAGCACCCAGGAAUAACCNGGUGAGACCCCCGAACACAAGAGAGAGUGAAGGGGCCCCUAAGAGAGANAANAAACUGCGGAGAGAUAGCAGGA